UUUACUGUUGGAAGAAGCGCGUUGAGUGUUAAAAUUGGAAUUUCACAAUCGAACGUAAUAAAAUCUUGUGUGUAUUAUGAAUCGAAUUGACAGUUCAGUUUAAAAUGAGUUUCUCUGACAGCAAAAUGGGUCGUCACAAGAAGGCUGAUACAAACGUCGACCAAAGGUCAAUAAAGCAAGGACUGCCGUCGAUUGUCCGUGAAAGAUAUCGGGAUGUAAUUGUCGCAAUCAUUUCGUAUUUAUCGGUGAAGGCUACGAAGAUCGCAUGCCUUGCAUCGUAACUAUGAAGGUCAAUGAAGCACUCGACGAUUUCAAUUAUGAUUUUUUUGUAACCGAUGAACCAUCAACGAUCAUACACAACUGUUUUAAGGCCGUUCUUGUCGAUAACAUUGGUGACAUAUCGCUUACCUGGUUUCCGCAACAUUGUCGACGCUGCACACAUUGACUGGCCCACAAACGGUGGGUUCGGAAAUGGUUUUAAAUAUUUGUGUGAGCAGUACCUCGACAAUUUCAUAACGAACCUGACAACGCACUGCGAGUGUCAAUUGGGGAAGUUUUUUAAAAUGAGAGCAUUCGAACUAAACGACUACGCCAUCAAGUACAAUUAUUUCAACAAUUUGUACGGUUUGAUCGAAUUAGAAUUGCCAUACUGCGACGAUGAAGAUAUAAAAAAUGCCAUCAAUUAUACUUAUCGUCGUCGAAACACCGCAAUUAGCGACGUUGAACGUGAGAUGCGAUUGGGUAAUGUAAGGUAAUGUACUGUUUAUUUUCUGAAUAUUUUGUUUGGUAUGUACAUAUGUUUCUUAUGAGUUACAGUCGGUAGACUUCCCAACAUAUGAAGUAAUUAGUAGGUGUAAUUUAAGUGAUUUGUUAGGUGCCUGUGGAAAAUUAGGAAAAAACCACAAUUUGACGGGUUUUAUGAGAGUUUUAUAGUUUUUGUUUGAUUUUUAAAAAAAAUUGAGAACUUAAGACUAGGGAAAAUAAUAAAAUAAAAUUGGAUGUUGUAACUUUUAGUAGUUAUAAGAGAUCUAUUUCUCUUAUUAAGCUUUAAAAUGAGAACCAAACCGGGCAUCCAUAUUAUAGUAUUGGCCAAAAAUUUGUGAAAAAACGUGAAUGAGAAAAAUAUCGAUUCUAAGGUAAUUUUUCAUGCUGAUUCCGAAUUUUUGGGUUUCAGGUCAAAAA